rnacentral:rRNA from 1 species
ACGCUCGACACCUACGGGAGGCAGCAGUGGGGAAUAUUGCACAAUGGGGGAAACCCUGAUGCAGCGACGCCGCGUGGAGGAAGAAGGUCUUCGGAUUGUAAACUCCUGUUGUUGGGGAAAAAGAGGAUGGUACCCAACAAGGAAGUGACGGCUAACUACGUGCCUGCAGCCGACGGUAAUCUGAGGCGGGCGUGGACGAAGGC